rnacentral:lncRNA from 1 species
AUUGACUGGACACUGCUCCCUCCUGGACUGCUGCAGCCCAGAGAUCCUGGACCCCUGACGAGAGCCAGCAAGAGGACACAAUUGGAAACACUGGUUAUCUUACCAAAACUUUGACUGGAAUGUCAUAUUUGAGAGACAUAGGCAUCGACCUAGAUGUGACCAGACAGCUUUUGAGAAACAAUGAUUGGACUUUAUGGAAUAAAGCCGCUUGGAAAUAUUGGCCUAGUACCUUGUUUCCUAGCAACCCUACCCCAGAAAUACUUCUUCUUAGAUACCUGACUGCUGGGGGCUGGCCUGGUGGCGCAGCGGUUAAGUUUGCACGUUCCUCUUUGGUGGCCCAGGGUUCACCAGUUCAGAUCCCGGGUGCGGACAUGGCACUGCUUGGCAGGCCAUGCUGUGGUAGGCAUCCCACAUAUAAAGUAGAGGAAGAUGGGCACAGAUGUUAGCUCAGGGUCAGUCUUCCUUAGCAAAAAGAGGACGAUUGGCAGCAGAUGUUAGCUCAGGGCUAAUCUUCCUCAAAAAAAAAAAAAAAAAAACGCAAACAAACAAAAAAACCUGAGUGCUUGUUUCCACAAUAUAGGCCUAACUUUGGGAGCCCACCUGCAUCACCACAUUCUAAAAUGAAUUUAACUGGACUGAUCUAUCACCAGGACUAAGAAAUGUGUUCAGUGAGAUGAAACAAUGUACCACUCAGCUUCUGGACCAUGAAACUUCUUAAAGUUUCAAAGGCGGGACUGUGGGGGACUGGAAUUGGCCACCCCAAAAUGUGUCUCUGUGGCAUGAUUAUUUUGUCCUGAUUACUUUUAAAAACUGCUGACACUGAAACCAGCAACAGCCAUUGACGAUUAAGUAGUUACUAAAGUCUUUUCCUUUUUGCAAUUACUGAUGAUAGCUUUU